UCGUCACACUAUCAUUAACUGAAUCCAUAGGUUAAUGAGGCGAACCGGGGGAACUGAAACAUCUAAGUACCCCGAGGAAAAGAAAUCAACCGAGAUUCCCCCAGUAGCGGCGAGCGAACGGGGAGGAGCCCAGAGCCUGAAUCAGCAUGUGUGUUAGUGGAAGCGUCUGGAAAGGCGCGCGAUACAGGGUGACAGCCCCGUACACAAAAGCGCAUGUGCUGUGAGCUCGAUGAGUAGGGCGGGACACGUGGUAUCCUGUCUGAAUAUGGGGGGACCAUCCUCCAAGGCUAAAUACUCCUGACUGACCGAUAGUGAACCAGUACCGUGAGGGAAAGGCGAAAAGAACCCCGGCGAGGGGAGUGAAAAAGAACCUGAAACCGUGUACGUACAAGCAGUGGGAGCACCCUUUGGGGUGUGACUGCGUACCUUUUGUAUAAUGGGUCAGCGACUUAUAUUCUGUAGCAAGGUUAACCGUAUAGGGGAGCCGGAGGGAAACCGAGUCUUAACCGGGCGUUAAGUUGCAGGGUAUAGACCCGAAACCCGGUGAUCUAGCCAUGGGCAGGUUGAAGGUUGGGUAACACUAACUGGAGGACCGAACCGACUAAUGUUGAAAAAUUAGCGGAUGACCUGUGGCUGGGGGUGAAAGGCCAAUCAAACCGGGAGAUAGCUGGUUCUCCCCGAAAGCUAUUUAGGUAGCGCCUCGUGAAUUCAUCUCCGGGGGUAGAGCACUGUUUCGGCUAGGGGGCCAUCCCGGCUUACCAACCCGAUGCAAACUGCGAAUACCGGAGAAUGUUAUCACGGGAGACACACGGCGGGUGCUAACGUCCGUCGUGAAGAGGGAAACAACCCAGACCGCCAGCUAAGGUCCCAAAGUCAUGGUUAAGUGGGAAACGAUGUGGGAAGGCCCAGACAGCCAGGAUGUUGGCUUAGAAGCAGCCAUCAUUUAAAGAAAGCGUAAUAGCUCACUGGUCGAGUCGGCCUGCGCGGAAGAUGUAACGGGGCUAAACCAUGCACCGAAGCUGCGGCAGCGACGCUGAUGCGUUGUUGGGUAGGGGAGCGUUCUGUAAGCCUGCGAAGGUGGCCUGUGAGGGUUGCUGGAGGUAUCAGAAGUGCGAAUGCUGACAUAAGUAACGAUAAAGCGGGUGAAAAGCCCGCUCGCCGGAAGACCAAGGGUUCCUGUCCAACGUUAAUCGGGGCAGGGUGAGUCGACCCCUAAGGCGAGGCCGAAAGGCGUAGUCGAUGGGAAACGGGUUAAUAUUCCCGUACUUGGUGUUACUGCGAAGGGGGGACGGAGAAGGCUAUGUUGGCCGGGCGACGGUU
rnacentral:rRNA from 3 species